rnacentral:rRNA from 1 species
GAUGAACGCUGGCGGCGUGCUUAACACAUGCAAGUCGAACGGUGAAGGCGGAGCUUGCUCUGCUGGAUCAGUGGCGAACGGGUGAGUAACACGUGAGCAAUCUGCCCCUGACUCUGGGAUAAGCGCUGGAAACGGCGUCUAAUACUGGAUACGAGCUGCGAAGGCAUCUUCAGCAGCUGGAAAGAACUUCGGUCAGGGAUGAGCUCGCGGCCUAUCAGCUUGUUGGUGAGGUAACGGCUCACCAAGGCGUCGACGGGUAGCCGGCCUGAGAGGGUGACCGGCCACACUGGGACUGAGACACGGCCCAGACUCCUACGGGAGGCAGCAGUGGGGAAUAUUGCACAAUGGGCGAAAGCCUGAUGCAGCAACGCCGCGUGAGGGACGACGGCCUUCGGGUUGUAAACCUCUUUUAGCAGGGAAGAAGCGAAAGUGACGGUACCUGCAGAAAAAGCGCCGGCUAACUACGUA